AUUGAACGCUGGCGGCAGGCUUAACACAUGCAAGUCGAGCGGGGGAAGGUAGCUUGCUACUGGACCUAGCGGCGGACGGGUGAGUAAUGCUUAGGAAUCUGCCUAUUAGUGGGGGACAACAUCUCGAAAGGGAUGCUAAUACCGCAUACGUCCUACGGGAGAAAGCAGGGGAUCUUCGGACCUUGCGCUAAUAGAUGAGCCUAAGUCGGAUUAGCUAGUUGGUGGGGUAAAGGCCUACCAAGGCGACGAUCUGUAGCGGGUCUGAGAGGAUGAUCCGCCACACUGGGACUGAGACACGGCCCAGACUCCUACAGGAGGCAGCAGUGGGGAAUAUUGGACAAUGGGGGGAACCCUGAUCCAGCCAUGCCGCGUGUGUGAAGAAGGCCUUAUGGUUGUAAAGCACUUUAAGCGAGGAGGAGGCUACUUUAGUUAAUACCUAGAGAUAGUGGACGUUACUCGCAGAAUAAGCACCGGCUAACUCUGUGCCAGCAGCCGCGGUAAAAC
rnacentral:rRNA from 1 species